GGGGGAGGUCAGCGGGCGGGGAGGGGCGGCACGGACGGCCCCGCGCUGCCCCUCGGCCGCCCCCCGCAGCGGCCUCAGCGGGAAAGUUGGGGAAAGUUCGGGCGCGCGGACCCCCCGGCCCGGCCGCAGCCCCGGCCCCGCGCGGAGCCCCCUCCUUUCCCUCCCUUCUGUUUUUUCUCGUUUUUUUUUUUUUUUUUUUUUAAUUAUUUCACUUCAUCUGGGCGCUGACCGGGACAGCCGAAAGCCUAAAUAACGCCGACGUUACGUUUAUUCCGGUUUCACGAGCUGCAGAGGAAGUUCUGCACAGGGAGAUGCAGAAGGACGGUUUCAAAGUGGGAAGAAAUGCUGCAAAAGCACUUGGUUUUUGUUCAUGGUACUGAGAAGGGUUCUGCAGAAAGGUUAGCACAUUCAGCUGGGCAGGUGUUAAGUACAGCAGAUAUUUUCAGGAAGUGAUGUGGUUUGUUUCCAGUCGUUUUUAAUUCAGCAAAGUUCUUUGUUCUCCGUGGAGGUAUUAAAUAAAUUACAACAAGACAAAUCCCUGAGCAAACAGGCCUCACAGCUUGGCUGUUCCAGUACCAACCUCUCUUGGAUUCUGAUGCUGUUUGCUGUGCCUCAAGAGUAGAAGAGAUCUGGAAUCAAAGCAGAAUUGGGACACAGAGAAAAUGUUUCUUUUCAACACUUCUGUAAUUCCGUGACUUGGGCUUGAAAUGCCCACUGUUGUACCUGGGCAUAAUGAACAUACCAUGGUGCUUUCUGGAUUAAAAGUCAUGUAAGAGGC